rnacentral:rRNA from 1 species
GUAGGGUGCGAGCGUUAAUCGGAAUUACUGGGCGUAAAGCGUGCGCAGGCGGUUUUGUAAGACAGGCGUGAAAUCCCCGGGCUUAACCUGGGAACUGCGUUUGUGACUGCAAGGCUAGAGUAUGGCAGAGGGGGGUAGAAUUCCACGUGUAGCAGUGAAAUGCGUAGAUAUGUGGAGGAAUACCGAUGGCGAAGGCAGCCCCCUGGGUCAAUACUGACGCUCAUGCACGAAAGCGUGGGGAGCAAACAGGAUUAGAUACCCUGGUAGUCCACGCCCUAAACGAUGUCAACUAGGUGUUGGGGGAGGAGACUUCCUUAGUACCGCAGCUAACGCGUGAAGUUGACCGCCUGGGGAGUACGGCCGCAAGGUUG